GGUUCAAUGGUCUAGUGGUUAUGAUUUCUGUCUCACACGGUGGACACAGAAGGUCUCCAGUUCGAUCCUGGAUUGAACCA